GAAAGCGCGAAACGUAAUGUGAAUUGCAGAAUUCAGUGAAUCAUCGAAUCUUUGAACGCAUCUUGCGCUCCUUGGUAUUCCGAGGAGCAUGCCUGUUUGAGUGUCGUGAAACUCUAUCGACCCCACUUUCCUCUGUGGCAAGUGGGAUCGGACUUGGACGUCUGCCGGCUUCUCCAGUCGACUCGUCUCGAAAUGCAUCAGCUGUGGCCUGUCGUACAGUCAUCAACGGAAACAGACGGUGUGAUAAGAAACACUUGUGGCGCUGUCUCAUCCCGAGAGCCUCUGUUUAAAAGACGACCUCGCUUCCAAUCGUCCUCGGACAAACUUUCAUGUCAUCUGACCUCAAAUCAGGUAGGACUACCCGCUGAACUUAA
rnacentral:misc_RNA from 1 species